rnacentral:lncRNA from 12 species
CUUUUAAAAAUCGGGAGAAGGGACAGAGAAAGAAAGAAAGAAAGAAAGAAAGAAAGAAAGAAAGAAAGAAAGAAAGAAAGAAAGAAAAGAAAUUGUAGCUGGCCUUCCCCUGCCACCAUGGGCUCACCACUGUCCAAGUUGUUGACAGUUUAAAUUAAACACCAUCAACUCACCAAUAAAUUGGAUGGGACAGAGUUAGGUCUCGGUAAG